AUUGAACGCUGGCGGCAGGCCUAACACAUGCAAGUCGAGCGAGCGGCGGACGGGUGAGUAAUGUAUGGGAAACUGCCUGAUGGAGGGGGAUUACUACUGGAAACGGUAGCUAAUACUGCAUCCCAUCAGAUGUGCCCAGAUGGGAUUAGCUAGUAGGUGGGGUAACGGCGCACCUAGGCGACGAUCCCUAGCUGGUCUGAGAGGAUGAGCAGCCACACUGGAACUGAGACACGGACCAGACUCCUACGGGAGGCAGCAGUGGGAAAUAUUGCACAAUGGGCGCAAGCCUGAUGCAGCCAUGCCGCGUGUGUGAAGAAGGCCUUCGGGUGGUAAAGCACUUUCAGUCGGGAGGCGUUACCAGCAGAAGAAGCACCGGCUAACUCCGUGCCAGCAGCCGCGGUAAUUC
rnacentral:rRNA from 1 species